rnacentral:pre_miRNA from 1 species
UGUUGUUGUUAUGGUGGUGGUGGUGGUUAUGAUGAUGAUGAUGAUGAUGAUUGUCAUCAUCGUCAUCAUCAUCAUCAUCAUCAGCGUCUUCAUCA